rnacentral:lncRNA from 10 species
GUGCCAUCUAGGCUCACUGCAACCUCUGCUUGCCUGGUUCAAGCAAUUCCCCUGCCUCAGCCUCCCGUGUAGCUGGGACUACAGGCGCGUGAGGAUUUCCUAAUUUUUUAAGGUAGCAGAAGACAGCACCUGCUGUGAAUCCAGGUUCUACUGGGAAGUCCUAGCUCCUCACCUCUGGUAGUUUUGUUUCACUCUAAUGCUUCCCUUAACGUGCUUAGCCAGAGUACUUUGGUUAUAAACCGGAGUACUUUGUCUUCAACAAGAAGGGACUGUCUCAGAGACCCAGGAAAAGGUCUAUGCCAGGCAGUAUGGGGCACAGACUUCUGAGGAAUUGUUAAGAUAAUAUUGACAACAUACCAUGGACUGAGUCAAGCUAUCCAGUAAUCUAGUGAAGAAGCUGAUGAGUUCAUGAGACUGCCGGUUCAAACUCAGCAUGAUUUUAUCGUCUUUCAAGAAGGAGAGAAUGUAAAUAAAUUAGCUAACUUUGGAAUCUUGCAUUCUCAUUUGUUUAGUAGUUAUUUAAAUUCAUUAAAUUGCUUCAUAUAAGUAACCAUUAUUCUUGACGGUAAAAUUAAGUUUUUCUGUGCCUGGCUUAUUUCACUUAGCAUAAUGUCUUCCUUGGUCAUCCAUGUUAUUACAAAUGGUAAGAUGUUUUUCUUUUGCGAGACUGAUCUUAUUUUCUCAAGAUGACUGACUGGAAACAUCAGAUGCCAGUUCUCAGAAAGAUCAAAGUUACAACUGAAUGGUCAUGAUGUGAACAGAAAGCUAAAGGAAGAGAGCCGGGACUGUUGCAGAGCCCACAGGAAAAAGCUGGGACACAGAAAAGGAAGGUAGCAAGAGUCUGGCAGAGAUUGACCUCCGAGGAAUUUGAAGUCCCACAGAGGGAAUGCAGCAGAGGCUUUCUCCACUGCAGACUGUCACGAAUGCACUUGAAGACAGCCUUUCCAGUGCUAUUCACAGAAACUGCACCCCCGUUGAAAGUGAGCUUGUACCCCACUGGCAUGCAUGAUGGGCAGGGCCCAAUCUCCCCCUCCGUACAUAGAGGAGCAGCAUCGCAGCAACAGAAGGCAGUCAAGCCAUGAAGCCUGGUCUGGACUGGAAGAAGAAGCAUUGUCCUGGGGUCAUUUCAGUCCUGGGGUCAUUUCAAAAUAUUCUUCUGCCAGAAUAUUUUCUCUGACCUCAGUAACACUGUGGCCAGAGUCAAAGGACACUGUCUAUAUGAACUGAAGGUCAUGAGCUCUGUGACAGGGGCACAACAGGGAAGCAAAUCACAUUCCUCCCUGCCCAGGACUAGAGACAGAUGUAACCCCCCAACUUCUUCCCCCAAGACCUCAGUACAUCCCAACACAACUCUCCCUGCCUGCCCCCAUCAGGAUGGGUUGCCUCCACUUAUCAAAGGGCUACCAAAUGUUACUCUUAAGCGCCACCUACUGGAAUGGAGACUGCUGCAUCACUGAAUAAAAAUCCCUGCUGUCCGAAGAGCACAGGGUUAGUGCAUGAGAUAAGCUUCCUGAGACCGCUGCAUUCCCAGUCACGCAGGGCAUAGUGUAUUGGCUCAUAUGCCCAACACAUUGCUAAGGCAAGCAGCAUUUGAGAAAACCACCACACAUGAUUCCAUAUCUUUGUUACUGUGAAUGUGCUGCAAUGAACAUGGGAAUGCAGAUAACGCAUCAAAACACUGGUUUCACUUCUUUUGGAUAUAUACCCAGCAAUGAGGUUGCUGGAUCAUAUUUUUAAUUUUCUGGGGAACCUCCAUGCUGUUUUUUUAUAACGACUUUACCCAUUUACAUUCCCACCAAUAGUGAACAAGUGUUUUCUUUUCUCCACGUCUCCACCAACACUUAUUAUCUUUUGCUUUUUUGAUAAAAUACACUCUAAUACGUAUGAGGUGAUAUCUCAUUGCGGUUUUAAUUUACAUUUCCCUGAUGGUUAGUGAUGUUGAGAAUUUUUUCAUAUCUGCAUUGGCCAUUUGUAUGUCUUCUUUUAAGAAAUAUCUAAGUCUUUUGUCCAUUUUUAAUUCUGUUAUUUAUUUUCUUGCUAUUGAUUUGUUUAAGUUCCUUAUAGAUUUUGGAUAUUAACCCCUACCAGAUGUAGCAAACUGAAUUCAAUGGCACAUUAAAAGGAUGGUUCACUAUGAUCAGGUGGGAUUCAAGAAUGGAUCACCAUAUGCAAAUCAAUAAAUGUGAUACACCCCAUUAACAGAAUGAAGAACAAAAACCAUAUGAUCAUCUCAAUAGAUGUAGAAAUGCAUUUGACAAAAUUCAACAUUUUUUAUGAUAAAAACUCUCAACAAAUUAGUUAUAGAAGCAAUGUACCUCAACACCAUAAAGGUCGUGUAUCACAAGCCCACAUAACAUAAUAUGCAAUGGUGAAAAGUUAAAGCUUUUCCUCUAAGAUCAGGCACAGUAUAAGCAUGCCCAAUCUUGCCGUUUCUAUUCAACAUAAUAAUGGAAAUCCUAGCCAAAGUGAUUAGGAAAGAGAAACAAUAAAAAACAUCCAACUCAUAGAUAAGGGAGUUAAAUUGUUUCUGUUUACAGA